GGCAAGAAAGCACAUUCCAGGAACAAUUCCAUGUUUUUGAGGAAACUAAGGUCACAAAACUCUUGUCUUGUUUUCUCCCAGUUCAUGUCAGUAUUGCACCCACGGGCAUGUCUUUCCAGGUGGCUUGUUGUUGUAGUCCACAGGGUUCACAGCUAGGUAGGACUAGUGACAACUUUUCUUCCCUAGCAGCUGACACAACGCCUUCUAAUACUGCGAAUGAGGCUUCCAGGUCAGUGUAAGCUGGAUCCAAGUAUGUAGUGUCUUCAGCAAUAAGGUCUUCCUUGAGUUCCGGUGGAUACCCAUUUCUUGGCAACAGUUUCUAUUGCUUUGAGAAACAGGACCUCCCUGACAGACAGCUCACAGGGAAGCAUCCCACACCUGGCAGGAGAUUUUUUGUUGAUAGCCUAUGGCAUCAGGACAAAGUAGGAUAAUGAUUUCUUUUUGGACUGCCUGUCUUAGAAUCACGGCUUAAAGUGAAAAUUCCCUGGCCCCCAGCAGGCCCAAUCAACCCAAGUUUCUAUGGGUGAUGUCAAGGACUUUGGUAAUAAACACCAGUGAAAUCUGAAAGCUUUCACGAUAGAGCGGGAAGAUUAUGCAGGAAGUCUGGUUAACUUACAGGCACAUUACUACGUCCAUAUGUCAGCGCGGGGAUCAGUUUUGUCGAACUUUUCAAAGUGCAAGGGCUAGCACUGGGAUUCAUAACCAGUAACCCUCUGUGAUGUCAGCAAGGUGGAAACGAAGACAAAAGAUGUUUUGAAGAUGUUGUUUUCCUCCACAGCCAUUCCAGCCUCUCGGGGAAGAAUGAACGAAGCUGGUCUUUGAACAAAGGAAAGGAAACCUUGGACCUGAAGGGCAAACAUCUGUGUGCUGUACCAUGUGGGAUGAAGGUGGUCGUUUCCUGACGACCCAGCCUGCAGAGGAUGAGGCCAUCUCAGCACUGGGAUGGACUGCUAUGCAGAUGGUGGCUCCCCAUAAUAUCAUGGGACUUCCUCCAUCUCUCUAUCCUGGUUCUAUGUAGAGCUGUACCUACGUCCUGGAGCAGCCAGAGGUGCCACUGAAGUGUCUGAUAAAGGCCCUGUGAUGCUUCAAUCAAACUUGGUUUCCCCCUUUCUAACUCUCUCUCCAAACACCAGACAUUUAUAGCGUUGGAGGAGGAGAAAGUCAGUGUACCAAGCUAGUGAAACUUUGAAUUCCUCAGUGCUGCUGCUGGCAGAAAACUUGACACAUGCUGAUCUUGCUAACCUUUUAGUGCCGGGCAGCUAUCGUUGGGGAGAGCCUCAUCACGAAGCUGGCCUUCUACAGCUUGGUCUACACAGAAGUACCAGGUGAGUUGAUCUCAGCUUUCAGAAGACUGAAACUAAGCGGAAGGAGCACGCACUGGAGACACAGCAACCCAAAUGCAUAGCCAUUUUUCCUGAAAAACACAAAAUGCAGCUUUCUCUGUUUUGUUCAUGGAUGAUCCAGAAUUCCUGAACAUAAUAGGUGUGCAGUAAAUG